rnacentral:rRNA from 1 species
UACGAAGGGGGCUAGCGUUGUUCGGAUUUACUGGGCGUAAAGCGCACGUAGGCGGAUUGUUAAGUCAGGGGUGAAAUCCCGAGGCUCAACCUCGGAACUGCCUUUGAUACUGGGUGUCUUGAGUAUGGUAGAGGUUGGUGGAACUGCGAGUGUAGAGGUGAAAUUCGUAGACAUUCGCAAGAACACCAGUGGCGAAGGCGGCCAACUGGACCAUUACUGACGCUGAGGUGCGAAAGCGUGGGGAGCAAACAGG